UAAACCCAGCAAGGGUUAGGUGAGGUGAGAAAGUUUUAUUUUUGAAGCAGCACAGAGAGAGGGGGAAGAAGGAAAGGACAGAACAGCUGUAACGACAUAUUUGUUGCUGACUGGUCCAAAGGAAUGUGUAUAAACAGCUUUAGAUGUAUUUUCCUGAGCAUGCUAAGUGUAUUUACUGCCUCCUUUAAUUGGUCCUGCCUCAAGUUAGCCAGGACUAAGAGUUCCCAUGGGAAGUACACUUCACUGACACAAACGGUCUGACAACUGGUGUCCCCACUGCAACCUGUGUUAAUGAUUGCCCCCGAGCUGUCCUUUCUCACAGCCUCCUGCCAGAGUGCCCAGGGCAAGCUGAUAUUUGGCCCUGCCUGAGGGUCCACUGGACAGAUAGCUUUACUGCAGGGCAGCAGCAGGGCCUGGCUGGUACCAGCACUGGAUCGGACAGCACAGGUGUAAAAGGCUGCAUCUCCCUCUGGGGAAGGCUGAUCCGUGUAGCUGAGGAUGCUUGAAUUUAUUUCCUGUGCUGGUCACAAGCUCCUUGACUCAACCUGAGCAAGUUGCAGGCAGAGGCUCCCAGAGCAGGGGCUGCAUUUUCCUGAUGGGCCGGUUCCUGUGCAGGCACUGACAACUGACACCAACAAAGAUGGUUUUGCAUGUGCAAAUGCCCCUGCACACAAAGUGAUUGUUCCCAAUAUACAGCCACUUUUUCUGAAGAGUUCAGUGCAAGCAGUCAGCAAAAGGAGGGGGAAAAAAGAACAAACCAGUUUCUCAUGGCAAAAUGUCAUUUUGAUGGAACUGACAUUUUUUGCAAAGCCAGUAUAAAUUUCAAUGUUUUGUUUUGUUUGUUUAAAAAAACAAACACAGAAAAUGUCCAAAUACGUAAUAUUGACAUUUUCAGAACCAAAUGUUUUGCUACUCCAUCCUGGCACAGUUCUUAAAAUUUGAAUGAACUUUUUCAUAAAAAUACUACAAAGAGACUAAAGGAAAUAACGAUUUUUACGUUCCUCCAAAGUACUGGGUCUUCCACAGAUUUUAUCUUUUUGCUCUGACUCAAGACUUGAGCCCAUCCAUCAAAGAGAAAAUGAGUUGCCCUUUUUUGGGAAAUGCAUGGUUUACUUCACUGGCUAAGCCAGUUAGUUGUGAAAAUGUUUCCAAAGAGCCAUGCCUGUGGUUGGUGAUCUUUCAGGCAGCCGGCAUCCUCCUGCAAGCUGAGCUGUGCAUAAGCCUGAAAAAUGCAUCCUUGGCAGGGUAUCAGCACUGUUGGCUUCCUGCACAGGGAGCGUCAAGGCAGAGGCAGGGUACAACACAGGUUAUCACCGCAUGUCCAAAGGCAAGAUAAAGUGAAAACUUAAUCAAGCCACUGGACUUUUAAGAAUUGCUGUCUUUGAAGGUGCUUGAGUGCAGGAAAUGUUGUGGAAGGGAGGAAUUAGGGGGGAGCUCCUGGAUGCAGAGUGAUACAAAAGCAUAUCAUGGGGUCUGCUGCUGCCUUGCGUGCUGCCAGACUGUGGGCCAGCAGAAAGUGCUGAUAGGAAGCACUGGUAUGACUCUGGCUGGUUUUGAACUCCUGUGUUAAUACUGACUAUAAGUAUUGAUUAGGAUUGCAAUUCUCCAUCAUCCAUUAUAUUGCCUUGCGUGUACCAAUAGAACCAAGAGGGAGUGAAAAACUGAGCAGUGGGUUUGCAUUUGGCGACCCUGAUGCUAAGCUGGGUUUGGGAGCUCCAGCAAGGCUUGGUUCACAGUGGUGUUGAUCCUCUGGUUUUCCUUCUCUUUCACUCCCAUCUUUCCUUCAAAGCUCUCUUCCCUUCAGUGUUUCCUGAGUCCCACCAGCCUCUGACGUGUCAAACAUGGCUCUCAGGACCUGGCGGCAGAGCCUCCCCACGUGCCCAGGAGGUGAUGCAAGUCACACCCGUCAUUCAGCAGAAAAUGUUGCAAUAGGAAAUCCCCUUUCCUGGCUCAGCUUUUGGCAUGGCUUCUUGCUGACUGAUGCGCAGCUUGGACAUCAGAACACAUUUGAGGCAAAAAUGAAGUUCUCAGCAAUGACUUCUGCCACUCUUAAGCCCUGAUAACUAGUCAGAAGUUGAGAGCAUGCUUUUCCCAAGUCCUCGAGCCCUCCCAAACUUUCCCCUCUCCCUGGCUGGCUCCUCCCCAUGCACAUUGCAGCGUGUUGCUGGGACAGCACCCAUGCUGCAGGUAAGCCAUUCCCCUCCUGUGCUUUACAGCACUAGGACUGUCAAAGUUGGCACAUUUCUGAGGCUGAGUUUCUCACAGUGGCUUUGCGAGCAGGUUAUUCUGCCUGCCUUUAGCUUGCUUUUUUAUUUUCCAUGUCUCCCAGCUUCUCUGCAUGGCCAGGAGCAGGGCUGGGAUGUGCUUCUCCCAGUGUGCAUGGUGGGCGUGGGUCCCUGCGCUGCUGUACAAGCAAUAAUUAAUUGCUGUCCUCAGUGAGAAGUCCCUGUUUCAGCAGUAAUCAGCACAGGCCUGGAAGUGAGCAGCAGGGAGCUUCAUACUCUACACUGGCACAACUGUGUCAACAAGGUUAUGGCAUUGAACAUGGCUUUAGUGCAUGGGUGUUUGGAAGCAGAUAGUCUCUGCAAUGAGGGUUCCACACAGCCUUUUGUAUCCCCAUCAUUGCAGGGCUGACCGGGUAUGCGCUUGGGCAGGGGUCUGUGACCCAGAGGGUGCUCCCCUCAACUGGGGUAUCAGGCAGGGUAGCAAAAGUGCUUUUGUUCCAGCUAAGCUGUAUCAGAAAACUGUUUUCUUUUCAUCCUCUAUCUAGUUUUUGGCUCUGAACUCAGUGCCCAAAACACACACACACACAAGUCAAAAGCCCAGCGAGCCAAGAUAGCUGUGUCUUUAUGGGGACUGUACAAACAGGAGCAGGUGGGGAGGGAAGAGGAGCCAAACAGUGGGGUCUCCCCUCUUGCUGCCCAAUAUUUUUGGUGAUCUUUAUGUGCCUGUCCCUGACUACCUUCAGUGAUGUCCAUGGUAGCUAGGCCUGAGCUGCAGCUCCCUCGUUUAAGCCAGACCUCCUCUAUCCACUUCAUUUGACUAAUUCUCCACUUGAUAAAUCCAUCAUUUGCAGUGACAGAGGACAGGCCUAGGAGCACCACUGUGGCCUGCGAUGCGGCACACUCCUGCAUGUUUCCAGGCUAAGGUAAUGUCACUACACCUCCCAGCAUCUGUGCAUCAAAUGGGAUCAGAGACCUCUGUGGGCAUGGGCUGAGGAGACAGCCUGCCCACCCAUUCAGCCCUGCAACAGAAUGCAGUCCCAGGACCAGCAGCAACCACACAAAUAAAAAGCCAAAAACUGAUAAAGAUUUUGCAGACAGAAGAUAUUUGGAAAUUCUGAUGAAAAAAGCAUUUGACAGUUUGCAAGUUAGAGGUAGUAAUUACCUAUUUUGCCUAUGUGACUUUUUCAGAAAGAUGGGCAAUGAUAUCACACGACUGAUGGGAUUUUUGCACUCUGUCCCAUGCCCUUAUUUUCACCAUAUCCCACCUCUUACCCCAGUCACUCAAGAACUGCUCCAGUGUUCACAUGUUUAAAUGGACAAGAAUACAGAUCAGUUGGACCUCGAAAAUCAAGCCUUUUGUGUUUAAUAUAUUUUCACCUCUGAGGCAAGACAUUGAUAUUGGCUGAAAGCAAAUGCUUCCAAAUGGUGUCUCAUCACUUACACUUCUCCAAAGAGUCCCCUACGCCCAGUCUUUCAGUGCUUUGUGUGUCUAGACUUACUUCAGGUACUGAGCAGAGAUUGAACUUGCAGCAGUACACAAAGUAUUACAUUCAGUGAACUGG